rnacentral:rRNA from 1 species
CAGCCGCCGCGGUAAUACGAAGGGGGCUAGCGUUGCUCGGAAUGACUGGGCGUAAAGGGCGCGUAGGCGGUUUUGACAGUCAGAUGUGAAAUUCCUGGGCUUAACCUGGGGGCUGCAUUUGAGACGUCAAGACUAGAGUGUGAGAGAGGGUUGUGGAAUUCCCAGUGUAGAGGUGAAAUUCGUAGAUAUUGGGAAGAACACCGGUGGCGAAGGCGGCAACCUGGCUCAUUACUGACGCUGAGGCGCGAAAGCGUGGGGAGCAAACAGGAUUAGAUACCCCCGUAGUCCCUGUCUCUUAUAC